ACACUGGGAUGCCUGGUGGUGGUGGUGGUUAGGUGUAGAUUUCUCCCCAUUCCUUAGUGCCUCACAAGGGUGCUGUAAAACGUUUGUCGAGUGUGUUUUAUCAACAGUCUCAGAAGGGGUGGUAAAAAAAAAUACUCGUUUGUUUCAUACAGAGAGAAAUUGCAUUACAAAGUGAUGACUUACAAAAUCACCGAAAGGAAAUCAAUGGUGAGGUGGAGCCAAACCUCUGCUGUAGAAUUUCUGGAUUCAGAUAACACAGAGCUCUCUCCAUCAAGCAUUUGUGUGCAGAAGCUAAGCUCCAGGCCCAGGGAGAGAGCUUGAAGCAAAGACAUAAUAAAACAGUAACAGCUGCUACCGAAGCUGUGUCAUGCAACUUUGCUUAGCCCUUUACUGUAUGGUCUCAUUUA
rnacentral:lncRNA from 1 species